rnacentral:rRNA from 1 species
AUUGAACGCUGGCGGCAGGCCUAACACAUGCAAGUCGAGCGGAUGAAGGGAGCUUGCUCCUGGAUUCAGCGGCGGACGGGUGAGUCAUGCCUAGGAAUCUGCCUGGUAGUGGGGGAUAACGUCCGGAAACGGGCGCUAAUACCGCAUACGUCCUGAGGGAGAAAGUGGGGGAUCUUCGGACCUCACGCUAUCAGAUGAGCCUAGGUCGGAUUAGCUAGUUGGUGGGGUAAAGGCCUACCAAGGCGACGAUCCGUAACUGGUCUGAGAGGAUGAUCAGUCACACUGGAACUGAGACACGGUCCAGACUCCUACGGGAGGCAGCAGUGGGGAAUAUUGGACGAUGGGCGGAAGCCUGCUCCAGCCAUGCCGCGUGUGUGAAGAAGGUCUUCGGAUUGUAAAGCACUUUAAGUUGGGAGGAAGGGCAGUAAGUUAAUACCUUGCUGUUUUGACGUUACCAACAGAAUAAGCACCGGCUAACUUCGUG